UGGGGAAUCUUGCGCAAUGGGGGAAACCCUGACGCAGCAACGCCGCGUGGGUGAUGAAGGCCUUCGGGUCGUAAAGCCCUGUCAGGUGGGAAGAAACAUGUCGACGGGAAUACCGUCGGCAUCUGACGGUACCACCGGAGGAAGCACCGGCUAACUCCGUGCCAGCAGCCGCGGUAAUACGGAGGGUGCAAGCGUUGUUCGGAAUUACUGGGCGUAAAGCGCGUGUAGGUGGUUGGGUAAGUCAGAUGUGAAAGCCUUUCGCUCAACGAAAGAAGUGCAUUUGAAACUGCCUGGCUAGAGUACGGGAGAGGAGAGUGGAAUUCCCGGUGUAGAGGUGAAAUUCGUAGAUAUCGGGAGGAACACCAGUGGCGAAGGCGGCUCUCUGGUCCGAUACUGACGC
rnacentral:rRNA from 1 species